rnacentral:rRNA from 1 species
GACGAACGCUGGCGGCGUGCCUAACACAUGCAAGUCGAACGGAGAGGCUUGACAGAACACUUCGGUGGGACGACAAGUUUUCUUAGUGGCGGACGGGUGAGUAACGCGUGAGCAACCUACCUUUGAGAGGGGAAUAACAGUUGGAAACGGCUGCUAAUACCGCAUAAAGUCAGAAAGACGCAUGUUUUUCUGACCAAAGAUUUAUCGCUCAAAGAUGGGCUCGCGUCUGAUUAGAUAGUUGGUGAGGUAACGGCCCACCAAGUCGACGAUCAGUAGCCGGACUGAGAGGUUGAACGGCCACAUUGGGACUGAGACACGGCCCAGACUCCUACGGGAGGCAGCAGUGGGGAAUAUUGCACAAUGGGCGCAAGCCUGAUGCAGCAACGCCGCGUGCGGGAAGACGGCCUCGGUGUAACGACUGUCUUGUGAGAAGAAAUAGACGGUAACCGAUAGGAGGAAGGACCACGGCGUAACUACGUAGCCAGCAGCCGCGGUAACGUCAUA